CAUGGAUGUACUGUAUGGAUGUAUUACGAGAACCAUUAAGUCAUAAAGUUGUCCUGCAUGCUGCUCUGUGGUCAGUCCCACCGGGAAAGGUUUACUAAGGUUCUACCAACCACAACCCUCUAUUGUUUGCUUGAGUUAUCCUAUGAAGUGUGGGUUCUGCGGUUUUCUGAGCUCAAGUCAAGAAGAUCUAUUGAGGCACCAUAGACUACGACACAGAAGAGGAUCUCACUGGCCCUGUAUCUACAGUGACUGUGUGUGUACCUUCAAAACACCUGGCGAGUUAAAAUCCCACCUUACCAGAUCA